GGAGAGAUGUCCGAGCGGCUGAAGGAGCACGACUGGAAAUCGUGUGCACUGUCUAAAAACGGUGCCGAGGGUUCAAAUCCCUCUCUCUCCGCCA
rnacentral:tRNA from 1 species